GUGCUCGCUUAGGCAGCACAUAUACUAAAAUUGGAAUGAUACAGAGAAGAUUAGCAUGGCCCCUGCUCAAGGAUGACAUGCAAAUUUGUGGAGUGUUCCAUAAAAAA
ensembl:snRNA U6 U6 spliceosomal RNA